rnacentral:rRNA from 1 species
ACGCUCGACACCUACGGGAGCAGCAGUGGGGAAUAUUGCACAAUGGGGGAAACCCUGAUGCAGCGACGCCGCGUGAAGGAAGAAGUAUCUCGGUAUGUAAACUUCUAUCAGCAGGGAAGAAAGUGACGGUACCUGACUAAGAAGCCCCGGCUAACUACGCGCCAGCAGCCGCGGUAAUCUGAGCGGGCUGGCAAGGC